rnacentral:rRNA from 1 species
UACGCAGGGGGUUAGCGUUGCUCGGAAUCACUGGGCGUAAAGGGUGCGUAGGCGGGUCUUUAAGUCAGAGGUGAAAGCCUGGAGCUCAACUCCAGAACUGCCUUUGAUACUGAGGAUCUCGAGUUCGGGAGAGGUGAGUGGAACUGCGAGUGUAGAGGUGAAAUUCGUAGAUAUUCGGAAGAACACCAGUGGCGAAGGCGGCUCACUGGCCCGGUACUGACGCUGAGGUGCGAAAGCGUGGGGAGCAAACAGG